GUGCAUAUAGUUAAACUAAAAGUAAAAUUGGAACGAUACAGAAAAGAUUAGCAUGGCCCCUGGGCAAGGAUAAAAUGGCAUAAAUUAAGAGACUUUCUCUAUGGAG